CCUACGGGAGGCAGCAGUGAGGAAUAUUGGUCAAUGGACGAGAGUCUGAACCAGCCAAGUAGCGUGAAGGAUGACUGCCCUAUGGGUUGUAAACUUCUUUUAUAUGGGAAUAAAAUGUUCCACGUGUGGGAUUUUGUAUGUACCAUAUGAAUAAGGAUCGGCUAAAUCCGUGCCAGCAGCCGCGGUAAUACGGAGGAUCCGAGCGUUAUCCGGAUUUAUUGGGUUUAAAGGGAGCGUAGGUGGAUUGUUAAGUCAGUUGUGAAAGUGUGCGGCUCAACCGUAAAAUUGCAGUUGAAACUGGCAGUCUGGAGUACAGUAGAGGUGGGCGGAAUGCGUGGUGUAGCGGUGAAAUGCUUAGAUAUCACGAAGAACUCCGAUUGCGAAGGCAGCUCACUGGACUGCAACUGACACUGAGGCUCGAAAGUGUGGGUAUCAAACAGGAUUAGAUACCCGAGUAGUC
rnacentral:rRNA from 1 species